UACAGUUGGAUUUUUCUUUUUCUCUGCCUUCUAAUGCUUGUCACAUGUCUUUGUCUUUUAUCAGAACUGAAUGGUUAUCCUGACUUAGGGAAAACACAAAAGCACGGAGUUAAAUCACAGCAUGAAGUCAAGACAACUGAGCCUGAAAAUGCAAAAGAGUUAAGACAGCAGGCUCCUCUGUGUCAUGCAGGCAUUACUGUCACUGAGAAUGUCCUGGCUUCAGAUUUCUGCCUUCCUCUUUGCUGACGUGAAUCAGAUUUACCUUCUCCAAAAAAACCCACUUUACCAAAUAGCGUGAUAUUUCUGAUGACAUUAGAGUUACUCCAUACUCUUGAGAUGUGCAGGGUAGGGAAUUUCUACAGAAGGUCUACUCUGCUUGUAACCUUGGAGAGUCUCUAUGAGGGCACAACUCUUACGUGGUCUGAAAGUGUUCAGAUUGAUGCUGGAUGGAGGCAUCUCCAGGGGGCUAUGCAAGAUACGCAUUGCAGUAGAGAGAAUUGUUAUUUUCUCUCCAGUGACAGUUUCAAAAGCAAAGAAAGCCAUGUGAAGUAUUCUGGGAAUCUGCUUUGAGGAGCAAUUGCAAAAUCUUUCACCAUCUGUAGACAGGAAGAGGAUUCCUAGCCAGAAAUGGAUGGAAGGAGACUGGCACUGUGAAGAAGAACAGGCUGAUGCCAGCAACGGUUUCACGCUGAUCAGCUUGCAAAUUACAUUUACGUUUGAUUUCAAUCAUAUUUGUCUGCUUUCUCUUCUCAUAUAUUAAAAUGUAGUAAUAAUAUUCUAAUUGCUAUUUAUCUUAGUAAAAGGGAGAAAAAAGCUUGCAGUAGGGGGAUAGAAAAGAGGAUAUUAGGAGAUCAUAGAAUAAUGAUAAAGUAAAAAUUGCUGCUUCUCAGCCUGACAUCAACCGCGAAAGGGAAAUUACAGCAAAGUCUUGUGGAGAGAAAAAGAAAAGAAGAAAUGGGCAGUGUUGUAGAGAGAAUUAGGUUAAGUUCAGCACAGGUUGCCUCAGUUUUCACUGAAGACUGCAGCUGAAGGUAGCCCGGCCUAUAGAAAUAAAUAGUUGGGCGUGGAAACA
rnacentral:lncRNA from 1 species